CUCUCUCUCUCUCUCUCUCUUUCUCUCUCUCUCUCUCUCUCCAGCCCCGAUCCUCUCUCUGCCACUCUCCCUCGCCACCCCCAAUCCUCUCUCACUGCUCCCCAUCCUCUCUCUUGGAACAUAGGAAAAAUCUGAGUAAAAACAAUGCAGGGCUUCGGAUCGAGAGUUUUCGAAAUCGAAACCCUAGGGUUUGAAAACAAAACCAAAAAAACCGAGAAAAAAGGCUCACGGAGAGAAUCAAGGAGCUGAAGUACUGGAUUGGAGAUGGAGAUUUAUAAGGUCAGGAUGAGAUGAUAUGCGGUCAUAUACGAUCAUAUGUAUGGAUUGGGAUACGGCCCUGGGAAGGUUUUUGAAGAUGAACCUCUCUGUGUGUGUGUGUGUGUGUGUGUGUAAGAUAUAUUCAAUUUCAAGCAAGAAAUUGGAUUUUCUUCAUCUCUGAAACUCGCAUUCUCAAAGCUUCCUGCAAAUGAUACACGCAUCAUCAAGCCACAUCCAGUUCAGAUGUCACCUCCUAUCCUCGCUGUUUUUCUAGAUUUCCCCGUUUCUCCUCUUCUCCCUCUCUCUUGAUCGAUUUCUCUUACUAAUCGAUACGAUUCAUCGGUCGGUAUAGGUUUUUUCCUCUGUUUGAGAUCCAAUCAUGGAAUUGCUUUUAAACGACCUGUCUUCUAAAUACCAUUUUCUUCUUCUGAGAGCUAGAGAUAGAGAGAGAUUGAAUUAGGGUUUUUGAGGUGGGUUCAAAAGAUCAAAACCAAGGCGGUGGAUUCUUCUCCUCAAUUGCAUCCAGCAUCUCGAAUUUCAGCACUGCCAUGCACAAAUCCGUCAACGGAUAUGGAAAAAUCUUCUAAGCUCCGAUCUCUCUUCUUUCUUUCUUUCUAUGUACAUGUUGUAUGCAUGUAUGUGAAAAUUCAAUCGAUAUCGAAUCCUAGGGUUUUACUUUUUUUCAGAAUCGGUUAUGGUGGAAGGAAAUAUUGAUUUUCGAGUGGGAAUUCUCAUUUGGUCCUUGCAGCAAUUGGGAAAAGACAGUGAUGAGAAGUUAUGUGAUUGAGUUUUUUUACUGCUUCAGGAAAGUUUAUGGCAAAUACUGCGAGGAGAGACUGAAGAGGCGAUUCGUGGCACACCUACUGCCAUGAUAGACGUGUGAGAUCUGGGAUACCUACCCAUCAGGUUGAUUGGUUAUGAAGGGCUAGAAGUUAUAAACCCUGAAGGAGGCACAGAAGAUGCAGAGGAAGAAGCUCAAAGAGGAAGAUGGAAGCAGGAUGAUCGAGAUAGUUAUUGGAAGAUGAUGCAGAAAUAUAUAGGUUCAGAUGUUACAUCAAUGCCUUGCUUAUCACAUAUUGAGCAUUAUAAAUUGCAUUAUCCUCACAGAUGCUGGAGUACUCCCACUUGUUAGACCUGGUUGAUGAAUGUGAGGAUCCCUACAUGCGGAUGGUCUAUGCUACAUCAUGGGCAAUAUUUGUUUACUAUGCCUAUCAACGAACCUGGAAGCCCUUCAAUCCCAUCCUUGGUGAGACUUAUGAAAUGGUUAAUCAUGGUGGCAUUACAUUCCUCGCGGAGCA